AUUGAACGCUGGCGGCAGGCCUAACACAUGCAAGUCGAGCGGAUGAAGGGAGCUUGCUCCUGGAUUCAGCGGCGGACGGGUGAGUAAUGCCUAGGAAUCUGCCUGGUAGUGGGGGAUAACGUCCGGAAACGGGCGCUAAUACCGCAUACGUCCUGAGGGAGAAAGUGGGGGAUCUUCGGACCUCACGGUAUCAGAUGAGCCUAGGUCGGAUUAGCUAGUUGGUGGGGUAAAGGCCUACCAAGGCGACGAUCCGUAACUGGUCUGAGAGGAUAAUCAGUCACACUGGAACUGAGACACGGUCCAGACUCCUACGGGAGGCAGCAGUGGGGAAUAUUGGACAAUGGGCGAAAGCCUGAUCCAGCCAUGCCGCGUGUGUGAAGAAGGUCUUCGGAUUGUAAAGCACUUUAAGUUGGGAGGAAGGGCAGUAAGUUAAUACCUUGCUGUUUUGACGUUACCAACAGAAUAAGCACCGGCUAACUUCGUG
rnacentral:rRNA from 1 species